GAAAUUCUGGAGAAUUUGGCGUGAAUUUCAAAAUUGAAAAUUUGGAAUUUUUGGUAAGUGGGAAGUUGUGGAAUAGGUAGGCAAAAGAUGAACAGUUAAAAGUUGGAACAGGUUGAAUCGGUUAAAAAA